UACGGGGGGGGCAAGCGUUGUUCGGAAUUACUGGGCGUAAAGGGCUCGUAGGCGGCCAACUAAGUCGGACGUGAAAUCCCUCGGCUUAACCGGGGAACUGCGUCCGAUACUGGAUGGCUUGAGUUUGGGAGAGGGAUGCGGAAUUCCAGGUGUAGCGGUGAAAUGCGUAGAUAUCUGGAGGAACACCGGUGGCGAAGGCGGCAUCCUGGACCAGCACUGACGCUGAUGAGCGAAAGCCAGGGGAGCAAACGGG
rnacentral:rRNA from 1 species